UGGAGGACUUGGCUCAAGCGCUGACGAAGGGCGUGGCAAGCAGCGUUAUGCUCCGGCGAGGCGCAUGCAGCCGUAGAACCGGAGAUUCCUGAAUCAGACAUCUGAGCGCAAGCUGAUCCGUGAGGAUGGGAAACGCAGGGAAUUGAAACAUCUUAGUACCUGCAGGAGAAGAAAUCAAUUGAGAUGCUGUAAGUAGCAGCGAGCGAAAACAGCGAAGGCCAAACCGAAUCCUGCCCUGAAAGGGGCCGGAGAUGUGGUGUUGUAGGACCGCUCAUUAAGGGCCCUCCCUGGGCAACCGGAAUUUCCCUGGAAAGGGAAGCCACAGAGGGUGACAGCCCCGUACGGGCAAACUUAGGUGGGCCUGAGCGUGUUCCUGAGUACCGUUUAUCGGAUAUUAAACGGGAAGCCGGGAGUCAUCAACUUCCAAGCCUAAAUACGUCUUGAGACCGAUAGCGAAUAGUACCGCGAGGGAACGUUGAAAAGAACCCUUAACGGGGAGUGAAAAGAGCCUGAAAUCUAACAGCUAUAGUCGGUCAUGGCUCUAAGGAGUUAUGACAUGCGUUUCGAAUAACGUGCCAGGGAGUAUAUCUGAGUGGCAAGGCUAAUCCACUUCGUGGAGGAGCCGCAGCGAAAGCGACAAGCCCGCAGGCAACGAGGGGCGCGGAGUGAAAGCUCCGGGAGUUACUUGGAUAUGACCCGAAACCGGGCGAUCUAUUCCAGGGCUAGGUGAAGCGUGGGUAAAACCUCGUGGAGGCCUUAAGGGGUUCUGGGUGCAACCGUUCCUGUGACCUUGGAUUAGGGGUGAAAAGCCCAUCGAGCCCGGUGAUAGCUGGUUCCUGCCGAAAUAGGCCGCAGUCUAGCCUCAGGUCAGACAGCAUGUGCGGUAGAGGGACGGAUUAGGGGUUGAGGCACCGAAAGGUGUCGGCCCUUUGUCCAACUCCGAAUGUGCAUGCGUCAUAGCCUGGGAGACGGGGAGUCGGGGUAAGCUUGACUUCCGAGAGGGGAACAACCCAGACUGCAGGUAAGGCCCCUAAGUGCUGGCUAAGUGCUAAUGGGGUAAGGGCGUCUGCAGCCGAAGACAGCGAGGAGGUUGGCUCAGAAGCAGCCAUCCUUUAAAAAGUGCGUAACAGCUUACUCGUCGAGGUUGCAGGCACCUAAAAUGGACGGGGCUAAGUCAGCCGCCGAUACUGCAGACCCUGAAAAGGUGUGAUAGGCAAGGCGUUCUGCUGGGCUGGAAGCAAGUCCACGAGGACUUGUGGACCCGGCAGAAAUGAAAAUCCUGGCGGUAGUAGGAUCUGAGAAGCUUGAGAAUAGCUUCCACCGAAAGGGCAAGGGUUCCUUUACAAUGUUCGUCAGUAAAGGGUUAGCCGGUCCUAACCGACGCCCCAAUUGGGCUCAGGGAAAGGGAUAACGGUUAAUAUUCCGUUGCUGCCUGGGUAUGUGCGGCGACGCAAGUCUGGCUUGCGACGCCUCCGGCUAGGCUGACACUGUACAAGUGUUAACCGGAACAAGUCAGUGGAGUAUCGUAAUGGUGAGAAACUGAUUAAAUCCGGGAAUAGUGCGAAAGCAUUCAGCCAAUGCCAGGGGCCCGUGAAAAGCGAGCCGGAAAAAAUCCCAGGCAACCGUACCAAGAACCAGCACUGGUGCCCCUAGGUGAAAAGCCUAAGGUGUGUAGGUGUAAUCUGGCUAAGGGAAUUCGGCAAACUAGCCCCGUGACUUCGGUCUAAGGGGUCCCUGUUCCCGUCUCCGCAUGGAGGCGUUUUCAGGGCGCAGUGACAAGAUGGGCCCGACUGUUUAACAAAAACUUAACUUACCGCAACGCUGCAAAGCUGUGUAUGGUAGGUGACGUCUGCCCAGUGCCGGUACUUCAAACUCCCUUCCAAGGGAGCUAAGAGCCGGUAAACGGCGGGAGUAACUAUAACUCUCUUAAGGUGAACAGUUGCCUUAACAAAAUCGGGCUGUAUGCUGGAACAUCUCUUUGAGCUUAUGAUAGGCUACUGCUAUGGCGACAUGGCAGCGACCCCUUAAAAUUCAUAAGCGAGAGACAAUCAGCAGGAAAGGCUGGACUUUGUCCAGAAUCCCCAGAGACUGUACGCCUGACUCCUGAAAAGGAGAAGAUACAGUCCGACCCCAGCAGCGAUGUUGGGAAGCCAGCAGAAAUGACUGGCUCGCCUCGAAUGAGGUUGUAACAGACGUGAGCGAAAUACCUUGUCGUUUGAUUGACGACGUGCAUGAAUGACGUAACGAGGUCCAUGCUGUCCCUAGCCAGAGUCCUCCGAACACCCUCUCCUGGUGCAAAGGCCAGGGAUCUCCAGUGGGAAGCGAAGACCCCGUGAAACUUUACUGUAGCUUGUUGCUGCAACGCGGGUUCUGCUGUGUAGUGUAGGUGGGAGUCGCUAAAGCUGGGCUGCAAGGUUCAGUGUAGACGCCGAUGAAACACCACUCUGUGGGACUUGCGCUGCUAACUUCGCAAGAAGGACAACUAUAAGCAGACAGUUUGGCUGGGGUGGCACUCUGCUGAAAAGGUAUCAGCAGAGCCCUAAGGUUGGCUCAGGCGGGUUGGAAAUCCGCCGUGGAGUGCAAAGGCAUAAGCCAGCCUGACUGGAUUUGCAACAAGAACAAAUCCAGAGGCGAAAGCCGGGCUUAGCGAACCCCUGUGUCCCCCUUGAUUGGGGCCAGGGAUGACCGAAAAGUUACUCCGGGGAUAACAGAGUUGUCUCGCCCGAGAGCUCCUAUCGACGGCGAGGCUUGCUACAUCGAUGUCGGCUCUUCCUAUCCUAGCCGUGCAGAAAAGCCUCAUGGGCUACUGUAGGCGGCUAAGGGUGGGGGUGUUCACCCAUUAAAAGGGAUCGCGAGCUGGGUUCACAACGUUGUGAGACAGUUGGUUUGAUAUCUACUGGAGAUGCGAGGAUGUCUGAGGGAAAGGGACGUCUAGUACGAGAGGAACGAUGUCCCGGCGCCUCUGGUCAACCGGUUGUCCAACAGGGCAGGCCGGGCAGCUACGCGCUAGAGGAUAAGUACUGAAAGCAUCUAAGUACGAAACCUCCCUCGAAAAUAGACAUCUCAGACACCCAUAGAACAUGGGUUUGAUAGAGCAGGGGUGUAAGUA
rnacentral:rRNA from 1 species